rnacentral:rRNA from 1 species
CGCGUAGGCGGUGUACGUAGUCAGAUAUGAAAUUCCUGGGCUUAACCUGGGGGCUGCAUUUGAUACGCGUACGCUUGAGUGUGGAAGAGGGUCGUGGAAUUCCCAGUGUAGAGGUGAAAUUCGUAGAUAUUGGGAAGAACACCGGUGGCGAAGGCGGCGACCUGGUCCAUAACUGACGCUGAGGCGCGAAAGCGUGGGGAGCAAACAGGAUUAGAUACCCUGGUAGUCCACGCUGUAAACGAUGUGUGCUGGAUGUUGGGCAGCCUAGCUGCUCAGUGUCGUAGCUAACGCGAUAAGCACACCGCCUGGGGAGUACGGCCGCAAGGUUGAA